rnacentral:rRNA from 1 species
GAUGAACGCUGGCGGCGUGCCUAAUACAUGCAAGUCGAGCGAACAGACGAGGAGCUUGCUCCUCUGACGUUAGCGGCGGACGGGUGAGUAACACGUGGAUAACCUACCUAUAAGACUGGGAUAACUUCGGGAAACCGGAGCUAAUACCGGAUAAUAUAUUUAACCGCAUGGUUCAAUAGUGAAAGACGGGUUUGCUGUCACUUAUAGAUGGAUCCGCGCCGCAUUAGCUAGUUGGUAAGGUAACGGCUUACCAAGGCAACGAUGCGUAGCCGACCUGAGAGGGUGAUCGGCCACACUGGAACUGAGACACGGUCCAGACUCCUACGGGAGGCAGCAGUAGGGAAUCUUCCGCAAUGGGCGAAAGCCUGACGGAGCAACGCCGCGUGAGUGAUGAAGGUCUUCGGAUCGUAAAACUCUGUUAUUAGGGAAGAACAAAUGUGUAAGUAACUAUGCACGUCUUGACGGUACCUAAUCAGAAAGCCACGGCUAACUACGUG